CUCAAAUUAUUGUUCACAUUUAUGUUUAAUAAAUGGGUACAUUUAUUUCUUAUUUGUAUUUUGCAGUUUUGGUUCUACAUGAUGAUGAUUUUUUGCACAGUUUCAUCUCAGCCGACAAUUUCUUCUGCUCUCAAAAAGUAUUGGAGGUGGUGCAGCGUCCACAUCCCAAGAUGUUCCUGACUUCACUGAGUAUGCCAUCUAAGAGGCUCCAAGAGAGGCGUGUAUGGAAGGGGAGCCUACUGGAUCCAAAAUUCCACCUACCGGUACCUCAAACCCAGUUGGUCCAGCUGAAUGACCAACCACACUCUUAGAUCCAACGCCAAACGGGCAGAACGCAGAAAGUUCCGGCAGCAGGAGUCGGUCUUCCUGGCCGUGUGGUCUGCAGUUAAAGGCGGAGCAUCAAAGAGGCGAGGGAAGCUGCCGCGCUGCCACCACGGACAUUUGCUUCUUCCUCAGUUAAGUCUCUGCUACCAAAGUGAAGAUGUCCAGCUGCGUCGUCCCGCUCGUCUCCACUGAUCUCCCCAAAACAAACGCCGCCAUGAUCACUUCAGAAAAAGCUGCUGCGCAUUUCUGUGGCCUCAGUUCAGAGGAAGCAGCAGCAUGUUUGCCCCCUUCCUCUUCAGGACGUCAGAGUCUUCAUCAGUGGACGGCUGUGACCUUCUGGAUUCAACUGCUUAGUGCUGAGAGCUUGAAGCAAUAAGCAGAAUUUAAAGCUUUUUCCUGUAAAUCUACAAGUUCAGGCUGUAUGGAGUCCCUUCAGAAUGAAGUCAGCACUGCUCUGCAUG